rnacentral:rRNA from 1 species
GGCAGGCCUAACACAUGCAAGUCGAGCGGCAGCGACUUAACUGAACCUUCGGGGAACGUUAAGGGCGGCGAGCGGCGGACGGGUGAGUAAUGCCUGGGAAUAUGCCCUGAUGUGGGGGAUAACUAUUGGAAACGAUAGCUAAUACCGCAUAAUCUCUUCGGAGCAAAGAGGGGGACCUUCGGGCCUCUCGCGUCAGGAUUAGCCCAGGUGGGAUUAGCUUGUUGGUGAGGUAAUGGCUCACCAAGGCAACGAUCCCUAGCUGGUCUGAGAGGAUGAUCAGCCACACUGGAACUGAGACACGGUCCAGACUCCUACGGGAGGCAGCAGUGGGGAAUAUUGCACAAUGGGGGAAACCCUGAUGCAGCCAUGCCGCGUGUGUGAAGAAGGCCUUCGGGUUGUAAAGCACUUUCAGUAGGGAGGAAGGUAGUGUAGUUAACACCUGCAUUAUUUGACGUUACCUACAGAAGAAGCACCGGCUAACUCCGUGCCAGCAGCCGCGAGUAAUACGGAGGGUGCGAGCGUUAAUCGGAAUUACUGGGCGUAAAGCGCAUGCAGGCGGCCUGUUAAGUCAGAUGUGAAAGCCCGGGGCUUAACCUCGGAAUUGCAUUUGAAACUGGCAGGCUAAAGUCUUGU